rnacentral:rRNA from 1 species
GUGGGGAAUAUUGGACAAUGGGCGAAAGCCUGAUCCAGCCAUGCCGCGUGUGUGAAGAAGGUCUUCGGAUUGUAAAGCACUUUAAGUUGGGAGGAAGGGCAGUAAGUUAAUACCUUGCUGUUUUGACGUUACCGACAGAAUAAGCACCGGCUAACUUCGUGCCAGCAGCCGCGGUAAUACGAAGGGUGCAAGCGUUAAUCGGAAUUACUGGGCGUAAAGCGCGCGUAGGUGGUUUUGUAAGUUGGAGGUGAAAUCCCCGGGCUCAACCUGGGAACUGCCUCCAAAACUGCAUGACUAGAGUACGGUAGAGGGUAGUGGAAUUUCCUGUGUAGCGGUGAAAGGCGUAGAUAUAGGAGGGAACACCAGUGGCGAAGGCGACUACCUGGACUGAUACUGACACUGAGGUGCGAAAGCGUGGGGAGCAAACAGGAUUAGAAACCCUGGUAGUCC